rnacentral:rRNA from 1 species
CAGUAGCCACGGUAACACGGAGGGUGCAAGCGUUAAUCGGAAUUACUGGGCGUAAAGCGCACGCAGGCGGUCUGUCAAGUCAGAUGUGAAAUCCCCGGGCUUAACCUGGGAACUGCAUUUGAAACUGGCAGGCUAGAGUCUUGUAGAGGGGGGUAGAAUUCCAGGUGUAGCGGUGAAAUGCGUAGAGAUCUGGAGGAAUACCGGUGGCGAAGGCGGCCCCCUGGACAAAGACUGACGCUCAGGUGCGAAAGCGUGGGGAGCAAACAGGAUUAGAUACCCCUGUAGUCCCUGUCUCUUAUAC